CUGAGAGAGAAAAGGGAAUUUGUAAAUUGGAUUGGAUUGGAAGUGGAGGCAGCAAAGUGGAAAUCAAGCAAUUAAUCAAUCUGAGGGUAAGAAGUUGGAUGAUUGGGAUGUUGAGGUUUUGUAAAUCCAUGCUGUGAUCUGCAAAGGCAAAGAUAGAGUCUGCAAUUGCAAUCAAAUUGAAAUCGGACGGUGCUGUUGAAUUCUGCAAUGGCAUCGGCAGCGCCUAAUGUCGAUCUCUUCGAUGCCUAUUUUCGACGCGCCGAUUUGGAUCGAGACGGCCGUAUCAGCGGUGCCGAAGCCGUCUCCUUUUUCCAAGGCUCCGGUUUGCCCAAGCAGGUCCUUGCGCAGAUUUGGGCUUUUGCAAACCAAAGCCAAAGUGGUUUCCUCGGCCGUGCUGAGUUUUACAAUGCCCUUAAACUCGUCACUGUGGCACAAAGUAAGCGAGAACUAACCCCUGAAAUGGUUAAAGCAGCAUUGUAUGGCCCCGCUGCAUCUAAGAUUCCUGCACCUCAAAUUAAUUUCAGUGCCACAGUUUCACCGCCAUUAAAUUCUCCUUCACCUGCACCCGCACGCGCACCUGCACCCGCGCCCGCACCUGCACCACAGAUUGGCCCUGUUAAUCCUUUAUCCCACCAAAAUCUUGGACUAGGGCGGCCAGUUCCAAAUUCAACUGGUAACCAGCAAAACCUUCCUUCACAGGGUCAGGGAACUCAGUUAGCAAGGCCUCCUGCCUCUAACCUGCCACCUCGUGUUGCCGCACAAGGAAUCUCUGUUGCUGGAACCGUUGGCAUCUCAAGUUAUGGGUCCACUGGCAAGAUGGGUGGAACUCCGGAAGUAACAUCUUCUCAAACACCCGCAAGAGGAAGUAGUCCCAAGUCAAUGCAGGAGGGCUUUGGGCUUGCAACCACUGGAUCAAGUGCGGCGCUGGUACCUAGCCAAUAUCCUGCCCCUGGCUUGAGGUCAUCAGAUCCAUUGGUUAAGGAUUCUAAAUCAAUGGAUACUUCUGUUAAUGGUACUGCUUCUGAUUCAUUUUUUGGAGGGGAUAUGUUCUCAGCUAGCUCAUUUCGGCUAAAACAAACUUCUUCUCCACAAGGAUUUUCUUCUGGCAGUUCACUGCCUUCAUCAGCCAUUGUUCCUGUAUCUGGAGGUAAUCAGCAUUCUAUUAGGACUAGUACCCCUGACUCUUUGCAGGGCUCACUUGGAACCCAGCCUGGUGCACAGCUUCAGCAAGUCCAGCCGGUGGUGAAACUGGACCAGCAUGCUUCAGUCCAGACACAUAACAUGCUGAAUUCAUCUGGACUUCCAGGGAGGUUGCAGGACUCUGCUUCCGGUCAGCCUCAAUCUCCAUGGCCAAGGAUGACUCAGACUGAUGUACAGAAAUAUAUGAAAGUAUUCAUGGAAGUAGACACAGAUAGAGAUGGGAAAAUCACUGGGGAACAAGCGCGGAACUUGUUUCUUAGUUGGAGAUUACCAAGAGAGGUUUUAAAGCAGGUCUGGGACUUAUCUGAUCAAGAUAAUGAUAGCAUGCUUUCUCUAAGGGAGUUUUGUAUUGCAUUGUACCUAAUGGAGCGGCACAGGGAAGGACGCAUUCUUCCAGGAGUACUUCCUAGUAACAUUGUGCUUGAUUUACCAACUACUGGUCAACCAGCUGCUCUCUACGGUGCUGUAACUUGGGGAAAUCCAUCAGGUUUUCAACAGCAACAGGGGAUGACUGGUUCUGGUGCUCGACAAGUGAACCCUGCUGCAGGUCGCCCACCAAGGCCGGCUGCUGUCCCUCAGCCUGAUGAAGGAUCUCAGAACAAGCAGCAGAAAUCUAAAAUUCCAGUUUUGGAGAAGCACCUCAUAAAUCAGCUGAGUUCAGAUGAGCAAAAUUCAAUUAAUUCAAAGUUUCAAGAAGCAACAGAAGCUGAUAAGAAGGUGGAAGAACUUGAGAAAGAAAUUGUGGAAUCCAGAGAGAAAAUAGAAUUCUACCGUGCAAAAAUGCAGGAACUUGUUCUGUACAAGAGCAGAUGUGACAACCGUCUUAAUGAGGUCAUAGAAAGGGUAUCUGCUGAUAAGCAUGAGGUUGAGAUUCUAGCAAAGAAAUAUGAAGACAAAUAUAAACAAGUAGGAGAUGUAUCAUCCAAGUUAACUACAGAGGAAGCCACAUUUCGUGACAUACAGGAGAAAAAAUUUGAAUUGUAUCAAGCAAUUGUCAAGAUGGAACAGGACGGAAAAGGCGAUGAGACUCUACAGGCUCAUGCUGAUCGUAUCCAAUCUGACCUUGAUGAGCUUGUGAAAUCUCUGAAUGAGCGGUGCAAGAAGUACGGAUUACGGGCAAAGCCCACAACACUAUUGGAGCUACCCUUUGGCUGGCAACCUGGCAUCCAAGAAGGAGCUGCUGACUGGGAUGAGGAUUGGGAUAAGCUUGAAGAUAAAGAAUUUGCUUUUGUCAAAGAACUCACUCUCAAUGUGCAAAACAUAAUAGUGCCUCCAAAGCAAAAGUUGCCAUCAGCUGCAAACACGAAAACCAUGGACAUUGACAGUCCUACAUUCGCUGCUUCUCCUAAGAGCGAUGAUAGGUCAGAAAAUCCCCAGACUGCCAAUGAACAGGGAGUUGACAACGGAACUGUUCAUAAUAAAAGUGAAGAUGGGUCUGCUAAAAGUGCUCCUAAUAGUCCAUUUGCAAGCAGUGCUAUCGGAAGCCCACAUAGGGACUUUGCUGAUUCUGACAUUAGAAAGAUUGUUGGUGAAGAUAGCUCACCCCGUGAUCAAGAUACCAUACAAGAAACCCUAAGGUAUGGUUUUUGGUAUUUGUACACCAGUUUCCCAAAUGUGGGUCAGUUGCUCAUUUGAUCAUAUAAUUAGAGGUGUUUUCUUUUCUUUUUUUUGCUGAUCACUACUAUUCUGUGCCUUUGGAAGGUCAUGAUACUAUUAUUAUUAUAAUAUAAAAAUUGUGUUUGUUAUUAUUAAAAGCUCUUAGGCCCUUCCACCUAACAACUUAGUUCUCUAGGAGAUUUUCCCUUGACAUGGUUUUAGAGCCCUCUGAUCAUUUGGAUUAAGAGUUUGAUCUGGUGCUGCUGCCUUUCCCAAUCAUAUUAUAACUUUAGCUCAAGAUAAAGUGAGGUUGUGCAUUAUCCAUGCCAUGCUUCAACUCAAUGGGCUUCUGUUUGAGGGUGUGCGGUAGAGACCAACUUAUAGCUUAAGCUUUUAAGAUAGUCAUCUAUAAUAUAUGAUACAUUUAAGAGUCGCAAAUUGUUGUAUAAUAUCACUUUAUUGGUUUUGGCCUAUCAUUAUUUUUUAUGUAAGUCGAAGCUAAAUAGUGAUACUAUCAUCUUUCUCACCUUUGUGAGGAGGUUGCCAUGCUAUGCAUUUUUUACUUGGGUAUAAAACCCACUUUUCCAACUGGUCAUAAAAACCCACUUGUCUAACAAGGAUUGGUUCAAGUAUUACAUGUUUGACUUCGCUUAAGUAAGGUCUCGUGUAUGGAAAAUAUUCUCAUUGGGAAAGCUAACCUUAUCAUGAUGUAGAUGUUUCCAGUUCAAGCAAGAUUGCCUCUUGUGAAUGAUACUUGUGGUUUAGACUAAAAAAAGGAAAAUACCCAUUUGUCCAAAUAAAAUAUAAGGAUACUAAACUCGUUGCAGCUGAGUUGAGAUUACUCUACCAUUAACUAAAUAGAAUUUCAUGUUAUAAUUCCCUUGGGAGUUUUCAAGACAUCUUUGCCAUCUAAUGUGUUUAUAUUUCUGUUGACUGUAUCAUGCCUUCUUCCUUUCUCUCAUUUACUCCUUAUUUUUGCAACUUGAAAGGAAGCAUUUGACUUCUCCUCUACACAACUUGUUUCUUUGUAACUCACUCUAGUGGCUGAAAGUGUUGGUUUCUUUACUUAAUUGAUGGCAUUUUACAAAACAAGAUAUUAUAUUAAUAUUGAUAUCAUGUUUUGAAAUAUAUAUAAAAAAAUAUAUAUCAAUUUUUCCUUUUGGUUGGGUCGGGUCCAAGCAAAUGACAUCUGAUCAAAAUUUUGAGUUGGGUAAGGAUUAAGUUAAACCAUCCUUGGAAUAUCCCUAGUGCAUGGUAUGGACCUUCAUUCCCAACUUUAGAUUGAAAAGUUAUUUGUUGGUUUAAAAUUGAUUUUGACAUGCACCAGCGUCAAUCGAAACCCAUGUAUACUUCAUUUUAUAUUUUUGCAUGAUAUAGAUCCUGUGAUGUUACAAAAUAAUUGUUUGCAUAUAAUCUUGCAUAUGCAGUGAUCACGGUGGUGACAAGUCCGUGUUUUCUGGAGACAAAAUUUUUGAUGAACCAAAUUGGGGAACCUUUGACACGAAUGAUGAUAUUGAUUCAGUUUGGGGAUUCAAUGCCAGUAGCAUCAGUAAGGAGGAUAGAGAUCUUGACAGAGCUGGAGACAACUAUUUCUUUGGUUCUGGGGAACUGGGCCUCAACCCCAUCAAAACAGGUUCACCACAGGCUGGUGAUCUCUUCCAGAGGAGCAGUGGCUUCAGUUUUGAUGAUUCUGUUCCAAGUACACCACUUUUCAGCUCAAGCAGUUCCCCACACAGGCCCAAAGAGUGGUUGGAAACUGCUUUUGACAACUACUCAAGAUUUGAUUCUUUCAGAACACAUGAUAGCGUGUCUUUGCCUGCUCGGGAGACACCUAAACGAUUUGAUUCAGUGCACAGCAGUGCGGAUUUUGAUCAUGUUCAUGGGUUUCCAGCCUUUGAUGACUCGGAUCCCUUUGGCUCUGGGCCAUUUAGGACUUCAUCAGAUAGUCAAACUCCGAAAAGAGGAUCUGAUAAUUGGAGUGCUUUUUAGUUUAGCAAUUCUACCAUACUAGCAUUAUUUCUGUUUUUCAGGCUUUCCGACUGUUGCCUCUUGUGAGUGGGUUGUCUGUUUUGCUAUUUGGAACCUCUUAUUUGUAAUGUAUUCCUUGCCUUGUAUUUAACCCUGUGUAUUCCUUGUUCCUCACUUUUUCUUUGGGGAGGGGCGCGGGGUUGUAUCCAACCCAGCAAUCCCAUUCCCUUGUUAAACUGAAAGUGAAGGUCUGUAUAUUUUUGGCUUGUCGGUCGAUAAUUUUCCAAAGUCCCGCGGAAGAGGUUGUCGUAUUGAUGACUAAUUUGAGUGUUGUUUAAU